AGAUCAUCGUGGACUUUCGUCGGGGGUGAUCCCUAUCAAGGUAUGUGAGUUCUUUGUGUGGGUUGAUCCUUUCCCCCACACACCAAGCUCAUUUUAUGAUUUGAGGAAAGAUUGGGUUUGUUGUUGAAGUUGUUAGUUGUUGUUGAUGUUGUUAGUUGUGUUGUUGAAGUUAUUGUUGGUUGUGAGACAUGAUUGGGUUGUGUUUGGAGUUGUAAUCCAUGGUAUGUUGAGGG
rnacentral:lncRNA from 1 species